CCUACGGGUGGCAGCAGUCGAGAAUCAUUCACAAUGGGGGAAACCCUGAUGGUGCGACGCCGCGUGGGGGAAUGAAGGUCUUCGGAUUGUAAACCCCUGUCAUGUGGGAGCAAAUUAAAAAGAUAGUACCACAAGAGGAAGAGACGGCUAACUCCGUGCCAGCAGCCGCGGUAAUACAGAGGUCUCAAGCGUUGUUCGGAAUCACUGGGCGUAAAGCGUGCGUAGGCUGUUUCGUAAGUCGUGUGUGAAAGGCGCGGGCUCAACCCGCGGACGGCACAUGAUACUGCGAGACUAGAGUAAGGGAGAGGGAACCGGAAUUCUCGGUGUAGCAGUGAAAUGCGUAGAUAUCGAGAGGAACACUCGUGGCGAAGGCGGGUUCCUGGACAUUAACUGACGCUGAGGCACGAAGGCCAGGGGAGCGAAAGGGAUUAGAUACCCGAGUAGUC
rnacentral:rRNA from 1 species